CGGUUAUUUACCUACUCUCCCUUCGGACUUUUGAAUGAGAAGGAGCAGAUAUCACUCCGCCAAAAAGUAGAGACUUGUGUGUUUCGUGUUUCCAACACAGACUUUUGAGUGAGAAGGAGCAGAUAUCAGUCCGCCAGAAAGCUCAGACCUGUGUAUGCGUUUCGUGUUUCCAACACAGGUAGAACUCUGACGUUUGCUGGGCAUGGUGAUGCGGAUGCGUUCUCUCCAGAUGCAGUUCGGGCUCGGACGCAGCGUAAGUUUGCAAGAGAGGCCUAAACAUGACAUGACGGGGAAGAACAAGAUUAUCCAUCGUCGACAAGGAAGAGGCUUCUAUCACGCUAAUGAUAAUAAAUGGCGACUAAUGGGAUGGCCAAACAUAACAAAUGGAAAGUUUUAAAAGGUACGGAGGACACAUUAAAUCUGAAAUGACAUCCUCAAGUCGGAGCUUUGUCUGGGCUAAACAAGAAAAAUGGAUCAUCGUGAUGCGUUUGCAUUAUUGUACAUCAUGUACAUGCCAGGGAGGGGAAUCAUU